CAAGACCACUCCAUUUUACCCUUCACACUUUGCAUCAUCACUUCAUUUUCACCCUUGGACCAUUGCACACCACAUACACUAUUUGCCGUGCAUUCUCCCUAGCCUAACCUGAUUCUCUAAGGUUUUUGGGGCCUAUAUAUACAUGUUUACACCCCUUGGCAAAGGGUUCACACUCUCAUAUUCAUCAUUCAUCACAGAAAAUUCGUCCAUACAACCUCUAGGUAGCAAAACACCCCAAAAACACCAUUCUAGUGCCUAGAAAACAUAACAACCACUCCACCUUCUUCCACCCUCUUUGCCUAGUUCUCCACCACCCUCCAACCCUCAAACACUCCUCCACACUUACCCUAAACCUUUCCAU
rnacentral:lncRNA from 1 species